GGUAACUGUCAGCUAAGUGGCGCACGGGUGAGUAAUAUAUAGUUAACCUGCCUCAAAGAAGAGAAUAAUUGUUGGAAACGACUUGUAAUGCUCUAUAUGCCUUUAUCACAUAAGUGAGCAAGGGAAAUAUUUAUAGCUUUGAGAUGGGACUGUACGGUAUCAGUUUGUUGGUGAGGUAAUGGCUUACCAAGACUAUGACGCCUAACUGGUUUGAGAGGAUGAUCAGUCACACUGGAACUGAGACACGGUCCAGACUCCUACGGGAGGCAGCAGUGGGGAAUAUUGCACAAUGGACGAAAGUCUGAUGCAGCAACGCCGCGUGGAGGAUGACACAUUUCGGUGCGUAAACUCCUUUUAUUAGGGAAGAUAAUGACGGUACCUAAUGAAUAAGCACCGGCUAACUCCGUGCCAGCAGCCGCGGUAAUACGGGGGGUGCAAGCGUUACUCGAAAUCACUGGGCGUAAAGAGCAUGUAGGCUGGUUUGUAAGUUGGAAGUGAAAUCCUAUGGCUUAACCAUAGAACUGCUUCCAAAACUGCAGACCUAGAGUAUGGGAGAGGUAGAUGGAAUUUCUGGUGUAGGGGUAAAAUCCGUAGAGAUCAGAAGGAAUACCGAUUGCGAAGGCGAUCUACUGGAACAUUACUGACGCUGAGAUGCGAAAGCGUGGGGAGCAAACAGGAUUAGAUACCCUGGUAGUCCA
rnacentral:rRNA from 1 species